UCGAUAACGAACGAGACCUUAACCUGCUAACUAGUCCAGUCAACUCUGGUUGGCCGGGACUUCUUAGAGGGACUAUUGAUGUUUAAUCAAUGGAAGUUUGAGGCAAUAACAGGUCUGUGAUGCCCUUAGAUGUUCUGGGCUGCACACGCGCUACACUGAUGGAGGCAACAAGUAUCAUCCUUGGUUGGAAAACCUGGGUAAUCUUUUGAAACUUUACCGUGCUGGGGAUAGUCCAUUGUAAUUAUUGGACUUGAACGAGGAAUUCCUAGUAAGUGCGAGUCAUUAGCUCGCGUUGAUUACGUCCCUGCCCUUUGUACACACCGCCCGUCGCUACUACCGAUUGAAUGGCU
rnacentral:rRNA from 1 species